rnacentral:rRNA from 1 species
CCUACGGGUGGCAGCAGUGAGGAAUAUUGGUCAAUGGACGAGAGUCUGAACCAGCCAAGUAGCGUGAAGGAUGACUGCCCUAUGGGUUGUAAACUUCUUUUAUAUGGGAAUAAAACGUUCCACGUGUGGGAUUUUGUAUGUACCAUUUGAAUAAGGAUCGGCUAACUCCGUGCCAGCAGCCGCGGUAAUACGGAGGAUCCGAGCGUUAUCCGGAUUUAUUGGGUUUAAAGGGAGCGUAGGUGGGUUGUUAAGUCAGUUGUGAAAGUUUGCGGCUCAACCGUAAAAUUGCAGUUGAAACUGGCAGUCUUGAGUACAGUAGAGGUGGGCGGAAUUCGUGGUGUAGCGGUGAAAUGCUUAGAGAUCACGAAGAACUCCGAUUGCGAAGGCAGUUCACUGGACUGCAACUGACACUGAGGCUCGAAAGUGUGGGUAUCAAACAGGAUUAGAUACCCCAGUAGUC